GACGAACCGUGCGAACGUUGUUCGGAAUCACUGGGCUUAAAGGGCGCGUAGGCGGGCAAGCAAGUCCGGGGUGAAAUCUUUCGGCUCAACCGGAAAAGUGCCUUGGAUACUGCUUGUCUGGAGGGAGGUAGGGGCCCGUGGAACUUCCGGUGGAGCGGUGAAAUGCGUUGAUAUCGGAAGGAACGCCGGUGGCGAAAGCGACGGGCUGGAUCUCUACUGACGCUGAGGCGCGGAAAGCCAGGGGAGCAAACGGG
rnacentral:rRNA from 1 species